rnacentral:rRNA from 1 species
AUGGCCACCUCUCCCUCCACCGCCGCCGCUACGAGCUCUGCCACCUCCCCCGGCGAUCUCUCAUCCUCCUCGACGGCGCCUGCUGCGGCCUCCUCCACUGCUUCCUCCCCGCCGUUCGUCUUCGGCACAUCCCCCUCUCUCAUCAACGGCUCCUCCCCCGUUGCGGGCACCCAGUUUGCCCCCCUGUUCACCACCGCCGUUCCUCCUGCUCCUCCGUCGCCCGCUCCUCGCAACCCCAUCUUCCUGGAUCACAUCAAGUUCCUCCUCAACCCCGCCGACCACAAUUAUCACAAAUGGAAAACCUUCGUCCUCAUGGUUCUCGUCCGCUACGGCGUCUCCUACCUCGUCGAACACCCGCCGCCACCCAAUGCUUCCGCCACUUACCUCGAGCUCGAUGCCCACGUCGUUCUGUGGAUCUACGCCACCCUCUCGGACACCAUAGUUAUUGAUUUUGGGAGUAGCCUUGCUUUAUCUGUAUUUUCUGUAUGGAGCUAUGUGUUUGGUUUGGUUGGGGCGUGUGUUUACUCUGGGCAGUGCAUUUGUAAGUUAGAGUUUGGAGAACCGUGUCUUUUUCAAUUGGUGUUGGCGCUCGUUUUCCCGACGGUCUCCAUCCACACGAGGCCGGGCGCUGUCGCUGCCACUCUAGACCCCCGCCGCACCAGAGCUCUACCUUCUGUCGCCGUUCGGCCCGCUACCGCUCACCGCUGCACCACACCGGGUCCCUGCCUGUCUUCUGCAGUUGUGAUUCUUCCUUUUCCCUUUCGAUUCAGCAGCCUCCGUGUAGGGAUGCUCCUUCUCCCUGCAUUCUAUUUCUCUGUUCCCUUUGCUUGUGGGUUCGGUGUUUGGCAGAGUUCGGGGAUUCUCGGUGUUCGUCUGUGCGGCGGCCUUUAUUGCUUGGAGAGCUCCUGUCGCCCUACUCAUGUCCUCUUGGUGGAUAUUGAAAUUGUUUGCGCCCAAUUUGGUUUUCUCGGGUUGGAUUGUUUAUUUUCCAUUUUGCUGCUUAAUCUCCCAGUUCAAUCAAACUUUGGAUAUACUAAGCUGCCUAGAAAGGAGGGUUGUGAUGCGUCGGGGCUAGGUUACCACAUCGGCCCUGGCUGUCAGGAUCUGGACCACUACCUUGGGAGCGUGGAUCGGGAACUUCCUGGCCUGGGGAAACAGCCGAUAGAUCGAAGGCGGCAUCCUGGAGAAGGGCGCAACGUCCUGGUCCGGGGCAGGCAGCGCCCCGACGGCCGCGUGGCAGCGGCCUGGACGAAUGCCGACGGAGCUCCCUUAGCAGCAAAUGGCGGCGGCUACAGCAGGAUAUCCCCCCUCUACCGGACGAGUUCGAGUUCAGUCAGGCCCUCCAGAUCUUUGUCCCGGGGGUAA